rnacentral:sRNA from 1 species
GACUGAUCUCUACAAUCCGUAGAGUUACUGG